UACGAGGGGGGCGAGCGUUGUUCGGAAUUAUUGGGCGUAAAGGGUGCGUAGGCGGCGCGGUAAGUCGGGUGUGAAAUCUCGGAGCUUAACUCCGAAACUGCAUUCGAUACUGCCGUGCUUGAGGACUGGAGAGGAGACUGGAAUUUACGGUGUAGCGGUGAAAUGCGUAGAUAUCGUAAGGAAGACCAGUGGCGAAGGCGGGUCUCUGGACAGUUCCUGACGCUGAGGCACGAAGGCCAGGGGAGCAAACGGG
rnacentral:rRNA from 1 species